rnacentral:rRNA from 1 species
GAUCCUGGCUCAGGAUGAACGCUAGCGGCAGGCUUAACACAUGCAAGUCGAGGGGUAUAGUAGCAAUACUAGAGACCGGCGCACGGGUGCGUAACGCGUAUGCAACCUACCUUUUACAGAGGGAUAGCCCAGAGAAAUUUGGAUUAAUACCUCAUAGUGUUAUUAGAUGGCAUCAUUUGAUAACUAAAGUUCCAACGGUAAAAGAUGGGCAUGCGUCCUAUUAGCUAGAUGGUAAGGUAACGGCUUACCAUGGCUACGAUAGGUAGGGGGUCCUGAGAGGGAGAUCCCCCCACACUGGUACUGAGACACGGACCAGACUCCUACGGGAGGCAGCAGUGAGGAAUAUUGGACAAUGGGCGCAAGCCUGAUCCAGCCAUGCCGCGUGCAGGAAGAAGCAUCUAUGGUGUGUAAACUGCUUUUGUACGGGAAGAAACACUCCUACGUGUAGGAGCUUGACGGUACCGUAAGAAUAAGGAUCGGCUAACUCCGUG